rnacentral:tRNA from 1 species
CAAAAACUAAGGCUCUUAGCCUGAUUCUGGAAACUCGGAAUACACUGCUGUGUGACAUCCGACUUUUUAACCGCUU